GAUGAACGCUGGCGGCGUGCCUAAUACAUGCAAGUCGAGCGAACGGACGAGAAGCUUGCUUUUCUGAUGUUAGCGGCGGACGGGUGAGUAACACGUGGAUAACCUACCUAUAAGACUGGGAUAACUUCGGGAAACCGGAGCUAAUACCGGAUAAUAUUUUGAACCGCAUGGUUCAUAAGUGAAAGACGGUCUUGCUGUCACUUAUAGAUGGAUCCGCGCUGCAUUAGCUAGUUGGUAAGGUAACGGCUUACCAAGGCAACGAUGCAUAGCCGACCUGAGGGGGUGAUCGGCCACACUGGAACUGAGACACGGUCCAGACUCCUACGGGAGGCAGCAGUAGGGAAUCUUCCGCAAUGGGCGAAAGCCUGACGGAGCAACGCCGCGUGAGUGAUGAAGGUCUUCGGAUCGUAAAACUCUGUUAUUAGGGAAGAACAUAUGUGUAAGUAACUAUGCACAUCUUGACGGUACCUAAUCAGAAAGCCACGGCUAACUACGUG
rnacentral:rRNA from 1 species